GGGGCUUUAGCUUAAUUAAAGUGUCUGAGUUGCAUUCAGGCGAUGUAAGGUAGUUUCUUGCAAGUCCUA
rnacentral:tRNA from 1 species